UCUUAAUUUUGCGGACGCCGACAAAAACGGAGGAAGGUGACAAACUUAAGGUAGCGCAAGAACAGGAAAGAAAGAUAUAUGUAUUUUGCCAUCCUCGAGGAUUAACUUUUUUUGCAGCCCAAAUUUUGUGUAUUAAAAUUCCCAUGAAUGAAAAAUGAUGAUAAAAUAA
rnacentral:ribozyme from 14 species